rnacentral:miRNA from 10 species
UGUAUUAGAUUAGUGCAAAAGUAAAUGUGGUUUUUGCAUUAAAGUAAUGGCAAAAACCACAAUUACUUUUGCACCAACCUAAUA